UGUAUCGCUAACGUGCCCCGGAGUCUGGGAUAGCUGCCCGAAAGGGCAGGUAAUACCAGAUGAGACCACGGAAGGGCAUCCUUCUGUGCUCAAAGCCGCAAUGCGCUCUGGGAGCGGGCGAUAUCGUAUCAGGUAGUUGGCGGGGUAACGGCCCACCAAGCCUGCGACGCGUAGCUGGUCUGAGAGGACGGACAGCCACAUCGGGACUGAGACACUGCCCGGACUCCUACGGGGGGCUGCAGUAACGAAUCUUCCGCAAUGCACGAAAGUGUGACGGAGCGACGCCGCGUGGAGGACGAAGUCCUUCGGGAUGUUAACUCCUGUCAGGGGUUACCAAGUUCUGAGGAACCCCAGAGGAAGGCACGGCUAACUCUGUGCCAGCAGCCGCGGUAAGACAGAGGUGCCAAGCGUUAGGCGG
rnacentral:rRNA from 1 species